GCAUUCCCAGGGCGCUUGUUUCACGCUUUGCGUGUCGAUGCGCACCUAGAGCGUACACGCUGAUACCCGAAAGAUGGUGAACUAUGCCUGGCCAGGACGAAGCCAGGGGAAACCCUGGUGGAGGUCCGCAGCGAUUCUGACGUGCAAAUCGAUCGUCGGAGCUGGGUAUAGGGGCGAAAGACCAAUCGAACCAUCUAGUAGCUGGUUCCCUCUGAAGUUUCCCUCAGGAUAGCUUGCGCUCGGUUGAUAAGAGUCUCAUCCGGUAGAGCGAAUGAUUAGAGGCAUUGGGGUCGAAACGACCUCAACCUAUUCUCAAACUCCAAAUAGAUGAGACCCCCGGCUUUCUUAAAAUUGAAGCCGUGGGAAUAGGAUCAGAGUGCCAAGUGGGCCAAUUUUGGUAAGCAGAACUGGCGCUGUGGGAUGAACCAAACGCAGAGUUAAGGCGCCCAAAUUGACGCUCAUGUGAAACCAUGAAAGGCGUUGGUUGCUUAAGACAGCAG
rnacentral:rRNA from 1 species